UAUCCCCUGCGGUGUCCGCCAGCUCCCGCGUAACCCUUGAGCCUUAAUAAAUACUACCGGGGUGCAAGGUUAUGAUGGUGUGCAAGUCCACCCUGAAGUGGAAAGCCUAAGCCAUAGCUGAGUGUCCCACCUGAACCUUAGGUUCAGGGUCCAAGGGUGCAGCGGCACAGGCGGGGGUGUC
rnacentral:other from 1 species